rnacentral:tRNA from 1 species
GGGAAGCUGGCUCAGUUGGUAAAGUGUUUGCCUUACAAGCGAGAAGGCCUGGGUUUGAUCCCCAGAACCCA